AACGCAUAUGGCGCCUGAAGCUUCGGCCGAGGGCAUGCCUGCCUCAGUGUCGUUCCAACCCCCUCUCCGAACAGGGCUUUUUCACGAAGGCCUCUGGCCUCGGAGGAACUGGCCUCUCCCCUAACCACGGGACUGGCUGAAAGGCAAUCGGCCCGGUCGAGCGACCGGCACCUGUGGUGGUGGCCCCCGCGCCUCCCCUCUGGACCGGACGCUCGCACUGCCAGCGGCCCUUUCAACGCAACCCCUAACCAUUCGACCUGAGUUCAGGCAAGAGCACCCGCUGAACUUAA
rnacentral:misc_RNA from 1 species